GACGGAGGGUGCAAGCGUUAUCCGGAAUUAUUGGGCGUAAAGCGUCCGUAGGCGGUUUCAAAAGUCUGUUGUUAAAGCCCACAGCUCAACUGUGGAUCGGCAAUGGAAACUGUGAGACUAGAGAGUGGUAGGGGUAGAGGGAAUUCCUAGUGUAGCGGUGAAAUGCGUAGAUAUUAGGAAGAAUACCAGUGACGAAGGCGGCUUUCUGGCCUAUUACUGACGCUGAGGCGCGAAAGCGUGGGGAGCAAACAGG
rnacentral:rRNA from 1 species